rnacentral:rRNA from 2 species
UGGGGAAUCUUCCGCAAUGGACGAAAGUCUGACGGAGCAACGCCGCGUGUAUGAAGAAGGCCUUCGGGUUGUAAAGUACUGUUGUUAGGGAAGAAUGGCUAGUGUGUGAAUAAUGCAUUAGAUUGACGGUACCUAACGAGGAAGCCCCGGCUAACUACGUGCCAGCAGCCGCGGUAAUACGUAGGGGGCAAGCGUUGUCCGGAAUCAUUGGGCGUAAAGGGCGCGUAGGCGGGCAUAUAAGUCUGAUGUGAAAGUGCGGGGCUUAACUCCGUAAAGCAUUGGAAACUGUGUGUCUUGAGGACAGGAGAGGAAAGUGGAAUUCCACGUGUAGCGGUGAAAUGCGUAGAGAUGUGGAGGAACACCAGUGGCGAAGGCGACUUUCUGGACUGUAACUGACGCUGAGGCGCGAAAGCGUGGGGAGCGAACAGG